rnacentral:rRNA from 1 species
ACGGAAGGCAGCAGUGGGGAAUAUUGGACAAUGGGGGAAACCCUGAUCCAGCGACGCCGCGUGAGUGAAGAAGUAUUUCGGUAUGUAAAGCUCUAUCAGCAAGGAAGAAAAUGACGGUACUUGACUAAGAAGCUCCGGCUAAAUACGUGCCAGCAGCCGCGGUAAUACGUAUGGAGCAAGCGUUAUCCGGAUUUACUGGGUGUAAAGGGAGCGUAGACGGCAAAGCAAGUCCGAAGUGAAAUCCCGGGGCUCAACCCCGGAACUGCUUUGGAAACUGUUUAGCUAGAGUGCAGGAGAGGUAAGCGGAAUUCCUAGUGUAGCGGUGAAAUGCGUAAAUAUUAGGAGGAACACCAGUGGCGAAGGCGGCUUACUGGACUGUAACUGACGUUGAGGCUCGAAAGCGUGGGGAGCAAACAGGAUUAGAUACCCUGGUA